CAAAGUGCUGGCAUUACAGGCCUGAGCCACCGCGCCUGGCCUGCAAUUUUAAAUAGAGCCGUCAGCAUGGGCCUCAUUUAUAAAAUGACUUUAAAUCGGAGACCUGAAAGAGCUGAGGGAGUCAGCCAUGCAGUUGUCUGGGGAAGAGUGUCCCAGGCAGAAGGAACAGCUAGCUGGUGGAAAGGCCUGGAGACAAAAGCCUCGGGAAGUGUUAAAAAUAAUGAGAAGGCCAGGACGGUUGGAGCCGUGAGCAAAUGGGAGCCUAAUGAGGAGAUAAGAUCAGAGAGAGGGGUCUCAAGUAGGGAGCUGUAGGAAUCUUGGCUGAAACAGAACCACUGCUGGGCUUUGAACAGAGGAGUGAUAGGAUCUGACUCGUGCUUUCAAAAGAUCACUCUGGCCGCCGUGCUAAGAGCAGAACUAAGAGGACAAUGGUGGAAGCCAGAGGCUCCAUUACCCAGGUACAGAAUGAUGGCUUGAACUAGAUAGUAGCAAUGAGUAAGAUAAAUAAGAUGCAGUCUCAGCCGGGCACAGUGGCGCUUGACUGUAAUCCCAGUUAUUAAGGAGGCUGAGGCAGGAGGAUAGGAUCACUUGAGCCCAGGAGUUCAAGUGCAGCCCGGGCAACACAGCAAGCCCCCAUCUCUAAAAAAUAAAUAACGUACAGUCUGUCUAUGGUCUCCCAACACUUAGGCAGAGGCGGAAGAUUGCGUGAGCACAAGAGUUCAAGACUAGCCUGGGCAACAUAAGGAGACUGUCUCUACAAAAAUAAAAAAAUUAGCCGGCAGGGUGGUGUGCAUCCUUGGUCCCAGCUAUGUGGGAGGCUGAGAUGGGAGGAUUGGGCCCAAGAGGUCAAGGCUGCAGUGAGUUGUGACUGCGCCACUGCACUCCAGCCUGGGUAACAGAGUGAGACCCUGUCUUUAAAAAAAAAAAAAGAGAGAGAAACUAGACUUAGCUCCAAGUCUGGAGCUUUUGGGGUUUUCUUCCUUUAUAAAAAUUUUUUAACUUUAUAGAAAUGGGAUCUCACUAUGUUGCUCAGACUUGUCUUGAACUCCUGUUUAGCACCACCUCUUACAAGUGUUGGGCAGCUCCGCUUCUCUCACUUGUCUGGAAUUCUAAGGCACUUCCCUGAAGUGCUCAUCCUGAGCUAAUAUGGGAUAGGGCUGGAGAGAGAACAGAGGUGGAUAGCUGCCAGAAUGAGGUGGGAAGGUGGGGAUCAGCAGCCUUUGGGAAGGAAAGAAGUAUGAGUCCCAGGGUAUUAAAAGGUGGAGGGGC
rnacentral:lncRNA from 1 species